rnacentral:rRNA from 1 species
CCUACGGGAGGCAGCAGUGGGGAAUAUUGCACAAUGGGGGGAACCCUGAUGCAGCAAUGCCGCGUGGGUGAAGAAGCACUCCGGUGCGUAAAGCCCUGUCAGCAGGGAAGAAAAUGACAGCACCUGGACAAGAAGCCCCGGGUAACUACGGGCCAGCAGCCGCGGUAAUACGUAGGGGGCAAGCGGUAUCCGGGUUUGCUGGGUGUAAAGGGAGCGCAGGCGGCGUUGCAAGGCAGAUGUGAAAACCCGCGGCCCAACCCCGGGAGUGCAUUUGAAACUGCAAUGCUUGAGUGGCGGAGAGGUACGCGGAAUUCCUAGUGUAGCGGUGAAAUGCGUAGAUAUUAGGAGGAACACCAGUGGCGGAGGCGGCUUACUGGACGGUAACUGACGCUGAGGCUCGAAAGCGUGGGGAGCAAACAGGAUUAGAUACCCGGGUAGUC